rnacentral:tRNA from 1 species
AUUUAAAUAGCUUAUUUAGAGUAUGGCUUUGAAGAUGCCAAGGAAUUUGUUAUAAAUUUUAAGUA